UCCUUGUCCUCUGUUUGAUUC
rnacentral:siRNA from 1 species